rnacentral:rRNA from 1 species
GAUCCUGGCUCAGAUUGAACGCUGGCGGCAGGCCUAACACAUGCAAGUCGAACGGUAACAGAAAGCAGCUUGCUGCUUUGCUGACGAGUGGCGGACGGGUGAGUAAUGUCUGGGAAACUGCCCGAUGGAGGGGGAUAACUACUGGAAACGGUAGCUAAUACCGCAUAACGUCGCAAGACCAAAGAGGGGGGACCUUCGGGUCCGUCUUGCCAUCGGAUGUGCCCAGAUGGGAGUUAGCUAGUAGGUGGGG